rnacentral:rRNA from 1 species
UAGGGAAUCUUCCACAAUGGGUGCAAGCCUGAUGGAGCAACGCCGCGUGAGUGAAGAAGGUCUUCGGAUCGUAAAACUCUGUUGUUAGAGAAGAACGUGUGUGAGAGUGGAAAGUUCACACAGUGACGGUAACUUACCAGAAAGGGACGGCUAACUACGUGCCAG